rnacentral:misc_RNA from 1 species
CCCCUCUCCUUCCCCCGCUCCUCAGCAUCUCUACACAGUGGCCUCACGAUGUUCUGGAAGUUUCUUGUCAGUGGCCUGGUAGGCUCGGCCUGCUCGGCCUACCACCGCGGUCCCACGAAUGUCUCCCUGGCCCUCGACCCGCCGACGCUGUCCAUCAUCAUGGACCCGAGCAAAGACAUUGUCCCCAUCCGCGCCGUCAUUGUGGGGGGCGGCUACGCUGGCAGUAAGAUGGCCUAUCAGCUGGACAGCAUGUUCGACGUCACGCACAUUGAUGAGAAAAACUUCUACGAGCUCACCAACGAUAUCAUUCCUAUCAUUACCAACCCAUGGAAGGAAGAUGUGAAUCCAAAAGCGUGCCGACGCAUGAUGGUGCUGCACCGCUAUUACCUCAAGCGCAGCAACGUCGUGACGGGCACCGUGAUCGGUGUGGAUGCGAAGCAGGUGUACCUGCGCGACGGCCGCACCGUGCCAUACGAUCUUCUCUUUCUCGCAACGGGCGAGCGCAAGCCGUUCCCUUUCCAGACCCGCGAACGCACCAUCUCUGGGCGGGUGCAGGAGCUGAAGCGCUUUAACGAGUUUCUGCAGUCCUGCAAGAAGGUCGCCGUCGUUGGUGGCGGCCCCGUCGGCACGUCCCUCGCGCACGACUUGGCGAGUUCACGACCGGACCUGCAGGUGCACCUGUUUCACCAGCGGGCUGAGCUGCUGCCGCGCCUCCCCGGUGUGUGUCGGCGCCACGCUCAGGAAAAGCUGCUGUCAAAUCCGAAUCUGCAUCUCCGCCUGCUUACCCGCGUGACUGACGUAGACGGUGUAGUUCUGCCGAGCAACGGCGACAAGGCGGCCUCUUCCUCGUCACCCGCACGGCACUCAUGUGCCGGCCAGCUGGUGAACCCUCCCACCUCGAACGUGGCGGUGCCGGAGUCGUCGCUGACACUCGCCACAGCCAACGCGCCGUGGUGGCGGUCGCUGCUGAGCACCGUCUGGCCUCGCCGCGGCGUCGUCCCGGAUCAAUACAGCGUCCACUACGACACGCUGCAGAGCGAGGUGCGGCAGCAGCAAUCCAUUCUGCAGCAGGUGUACUACGGCAAGCGGAACGAGGUGGCGGAGUGCGGGGUGGUGCAGGCGCGCGGGGUAGAAGAAGGCUUCGAUUACGUCUUUGCGCUGACCGGCGACACCCCUCGGCCUAUCCGGUGCGAUGAGCUGGAGGACAAGUCGAGAAAACUACCGAACAUCCUGCGCGAGCACGAGACGAGAGAUGGUCAUUACCGCGUCAGCACACUCAUGCAGUUGUUAGACCACCCGAACAUCUUCGGUGUGGGGCGGUGCACAAACUUGCCUGUCAUGCGCGGCUACGGUUCCAGCGACAUUGAGACCCGGACACUCUUUCGCGAGCUCAACUCCGUCGUCAGCAAUCCCACAACAAUGUUCCUGCACUCCCGCGACGGCGUUCAGCUGGCACACAUGCGAAUCCCCCGCAUACACGUCCGCCUCGGCGUCGACGACGCCGUGGGGUGCACGCCGUGGUCGGGAGGCAUGACCGGCGUCUCCUCGGUGCACGAGUUCAUGCAAGACCGCAGCUACCUUCUGAGGGAGUUCCAGAAGCCUGUCUUCUACAAGCAGCAGGACCAGGCAAAGGUCAAGCAGCGGGUGUCGCAGUGGAUGGAAGAGGACAUCACUGACAUUGUCGACUUCUCCCAUUGUUAGCGCAGGCCGCGCUACACCAACGCAGCAGAGAAAAAGGGAGAAGACGUUCACAUAUGAACAUGCCAGUCGCUGUGUGAGCAUGGCUGACGAAAGGGGGGGGAGCGGUGCCGGCGACGUGUGUGUGUGUGUGUGUGUACAUGCAUCCCCCUUUGCUCUCGCAAGCGGCUGCAACAACAACAGCACCAGCGGUGCACCUCGUCCGUGUGGUUUUGCAGCAGUGCGAUGGUCUGUUGUGUGCGUGUGGAGGUGUGCGCAGUUGUUUCUUACAGACCUUAAUUAUCUCUCUCCAUCUCCACAGCCUCUCGCUGGCGUCCUCUCUCGGAAGCUGUCGUACCUGGAGAGCCACGUUUUCUUUUCCUUCCUCUGCUUGCAGGCUCGUCUCUACAACGCACACGCCCAUCCUUUUCUCCUUCCCCUGCCUCGUGCAUGUGGCUGGAAAUGGAGAGCGGAUGGAAGGGUGCAGCUCAUGGAGCCACCACACGGAGUAUGACCUCCGCUCGCACUUCUCUGGUUCUCCUCCCCUUUUUUCUUCGCCUUUCUCCUCCUCUUUCAUUGUGAUGUGCGCCUCUCCCUUACGUCAUCCAUGGGGGAGGGGGGGCGCAG